AGUGAACGCUGGCGGUAGGCCUAACACAUGCAAGUCGAACGGCAGCACAGUAAGAGCUUGCUCUUACGGGUGGCGAGUGGCGGACGGGUGAGGAAUACAUCGGAAUCUACUUUUUCGUGGGGGAUAACGUAGGGAAACUUACGCUAAUACCGCAUACGACCUACGGGUGAAGGCAGGGGAUCUUCGGACCUUGCGCGAUUGAAUGAGCCGAUGUCGGAUUAGCUAGUUGGCGGGGUAAAGGCCCACCAAGGCGACGAUCCGUAGCUGGUCUGAGAGGAUGAUCAGCCACACUGGAACUGAGACACGGUCCAGACUCCUACGGGAGGCAACAGUGGGGAAUAUUGGACAAUGGGCGCAAGCCUGAUCCAGCCAUACCGCGUGGGUGAAGAAGGCCUUCGGGUUGUAAAGCCCUUUUGUUGGGAAAGAAAAGCAGCAGGUUAAUACCCCGCUGUUCUGACGGUACCCAAAGAAUAAGCACCGGCUAACUUCGUG
rnacentral:rRNA from 1 species